ACAGGUGAUGUUCUAUCAGGAUGGAGUCUGAUGUCUGGUCAGAUCAUGUAAUGUAGCUUCCAGAAUUGAGCCAGAGCCAGAGAAACAUCCUGGCAACUUGGAAGACCAAAUGAUUGGCAAGAAGGUUCAAGAAAUCCUACGGACAGAAGACACAUCUAGUAGAAGGUCACACAGCUCUUCUGUUCCGCCUAUUCAGUUUUUAGUAUUUUCCACACUUUUGUAUGUCUAAUUUUCUAAAUUGCAAUAUCAACCCAAACUCUGUUUUUAGGAAAAAAUGCAAAAAUUCAAAAUUGGGAUGAAAUUUAUGCCCAGAAACAACCAAAUUUUUUUGUUAACCAACAAUGUAGGAAUCACUGCAAACUCAGUUUUUUCUUUUAGCAUUGAGAGACUUUAAACAGCACACAUAGUAAUAAGCUGUUUCCAAAACAUCAGCUCAGUUAAUGUCACCCUUCAGUUUUCAUCGUCAUUACUCAAGGGGAUUUCUAGUUCCUACAUAAUGAAUGUUUUAAGAUAAAGUAAAAACUGUAAGAAUGGAUUAAAACCGUGAGCUGAUGUUGGUA